CCUGGCGGCUGUAGCGCGGUGGUCCCACCUGACCCCAUGCCGAACUCAGAAGUGAAACGCCGUAGCGCCGAUGGUAGUGUGGGGCCUCCCCAUGCGAGAG
rnacentral:rRNA from 1 species